rnacentral:rRNA from 1 species
CGCUGUGAAGAUGCAGUGUACCCGCGGCAAGACGGAAAGACCCCGUGAACCUUUACUAUAGCUUGACACUGAACAUUGAGCCUUGAUGUGUAGGAUAGGUGGGAGGCUUUGAAGCGUGGACGCCAGUCUGCGUGGAGCCGACCUUGAAAUACCACCCUUUAAUGUUUGAUGUUCUAACGUGGACCCGUAAUCCGGGUUGCGGACAGUGUCUGGUGGGUAGUUUGACUGGGGCGGUCUCCUCCUAAAGAGUAACGGAGGAGCACGAAGGUUGGCUAAUCCUGGUCGGACAUCAGGAGGUUAGUGCAAUGGCAUAAGCCAGCUUGACUGCGAGCGUGACGGCGCGAGCAGGUGCGAAAGCAGGUCAUAGUGAUCCGGUGGUUCUGAAUGGAAGGGCCAUCGCUCAACGGAUAAAAGGUACUCCGGGGAUAACAGGCUGAUACCGCCCAAGAGUUCAUAUCGACGGCGGUGUUUGGCACCUCGAUGUCGGCUCAUCACAUCCUGGGGCUGAAGUAGGUCCCAAGGGUAUGGCUGUUCGCCAUUUAAAGUGGUACGCGAGCUGGGUUUAGAACGUCGUGAGACAGUUCGGUCCCUAUCUGCCGUGGGCGCUGGAGAACUGAGGGGGGCUGCUCCUAGUACGAGAGGACCGGAGUGGACGCAUCACUGGUGUUCGGGUUGUCAUGCCAAUGGCACUGCCCGGUAGCUAAAUGCGGAAGAGAUAAGUGCUGAAAGCAUCUAAGCACGAAACUUGCCCCGAGAUGAGUUCUCCCUGAGACUUAGAGUCUCCUGAAGGAACGUUGAAGACGACGACGUUGAUAGGCCGGGUGUGUAAGCGCAGCGAUGCGUUGAGCUAACCGGUACUAAUGAACCGUGAGG